GAUGAAGAACGCAGCGAAAUGCGAUACGUAAUGUGAAUUGCAGAAUUCAGUGAAUCAUCGAACCUUUGAACGCAUAUUGCGCUCUCUGGUAUUCCGGAGAGCAUGCUUGUUUGAGUAUCAGUAAACACCUCAACUUCCAUAUCUUUUUUGAAAUGGGAGUUGGACUUGAGUGAUCCCAACGCUUUUCCUCACCGAAAAGUGGCGGGUUACUUGAAAUGCAGGUGCAGCUGGACUUUUCUCUGAGCUAUAAGCAUAUCUAUUUAGUCUGCCUAAAAAACAGAUUAUUACCUUUGCUGCAGCUAACAUAAAGGAGAUUAGUUCUUGUGCUGACUGAUGCAGGAUUCACAAAGACAGGCUUCGGCCGACUUUGUAAACUCGAUCUCAAAUCAAGUAAGACUACCCGCUGAACUUAAGCAUAUCAAUAAGCGGAGGA
rnacentral:misc_RNA from 1 species